CAGUAGCCGCGGGAAUACGAAGGGUGCAAGCGUUAAUCGGAAUUACUGGGCGUAAAGCGUGCGCAGGCGGUUUGUUAAGACAGAUGUGAAAUCCCCGGGCUCAACCUGGGAACUGCAUUUGUGACUGGCAAGCUAGAGUGUGGCAGAGGGGGGUGGAAUUCCGCGUGUAGCAGUGGAAUGCGUAGAUAUGCGGAGGAACACCGAUGGCGAAGGCAGCCCUCUGGGCCAACACUGACGCUCAUGCACGAAAGCGUGGGGAGCAAACAGGAUUAGAUACCCGCGUAGUCCCUGUCUCUUAUAA
rnacentral:rRNA from 1 species